rnacentral:rRNA from 1 species
CCUACGGGAGGCAGCAGUAGGGAAUAUUGCUCAAUGGGGGAAACCCUGAAGCAGCAACGCCGCGUGGAGGAUGAAUGUUUUCGGAUUGUAAACUCCUUUUUUUAGAGAAGAUAAUGACGGUAUCUAACGAAUUAGCACCGGCUAACUCCGUUCCAGCACCCGCGGUAAUACGGAGGGUGCAAGCUUGAUCCGGAAUCACUGGGCGUAAAGAGCGCGUAGGCGGAAUAGCAAGUCAGAUGUGAAAUACUAUGGCUUAACCAUAGAACUGCAGUUGAAACUGUUAGUCUAGAGUAUAGCAGAGGUAGGUGGAAUUCUUGGUGUAGGGGUAAAAUGCGUAGAGAUCAAGAGGAACACUCAUUGCGAAGGCGACCUGCUAGAACAUAACUGACGCUGAUGCGCGAAAGCGUGGGGAGCAAACAGGAUUAGAUACCCCAGUAGUC